AGCGAACGCUGGCGGCAGGCUUAACACAUGCAAGUCGAGCGGGCAUAGCAAUAUGUCAGCGGCAGACGGGUGAGUAACGCGUGGGAACGUACCUUUUGGUUCGGAACAACUGAGGGAAACUUCAGCUAAUACCGGAUAAGCCCUUACGGGGAAAGAAUUAUCGCCGAAAGAUCGGCCCGCGUCUGAUUAGCUAGUUGGUGAGGUAAUGGCUCACCAAGGCGACGAUCAGUAGCUGGUCUGAGAGGAUGAUCAGCCACAUUGGGACUGAGACACGGCCCAAACUCCUACGGGAGGCAGCAGUGGGGAAUAUUGGACAAUGGGCGCAAGCCUGAUCCAGCCAUGCCGCGUGAGUGAUGAAGGCCCUAGGGUUGUAAAGCUCUUUUGUGCGGGAAGAUAAUGACGGUACCGCAAGAAUAAGCCCCGGCUAACUUCGUG
rnacentral:rRNA from 1 species